rnacentral:rRNA from 1 species
AAGUGAGAAUGCCGGUGUGAGUAGCGAAAGACGGGUGAGAAUCCCGUCCACCGAUUGACUAAGGUUUCCAGAGGAAGGCUCGUCCGCUCUGGGUUAGUCGGGUCCUAAGCUGAGGCCGACAGGCGUAGGCGAUGGAUAACAGGUUGAUAUUCCUGUACCACCUAUAAUCGUUUUAAUCGAUGGGGGGACGCAGUAGGAUAGGCGAAGCGUGCGAUUGGAUUGCACGUCUAAGCAGUAAGGCUGAGUAUUAGGCAAAUCCGGUACUCGUUAAGGCUGAGCUGUGAUGGGGAGAAGACAUUGUGUCUUCGAGUCGUUGAUUUCACACUGCCGAGAAAAGCCUCUAGAUAGAAAAUAGGUGCCCGUACCGCAAACCGACACAGGUAGUCAAGAUGAGAAUUCUAAGGUGAGCGAGCGAACUCUCGUUAAGGAACUCGGCAAAAUGACCCCGUAACUUCGGGAGAAGGGGUGCUCUUUAGGGUUAACGCCCAGAAGAGCCGCAGUGAAUAGGCCCAAGCGACUGUUUAUCAAAAACACAGGUCUCUGCUAAACCGUAAGGUGAUGUAUAGGGGCUGACGCCUGCCCGGUGCUGGAAGGUUAAGAGGAGUGGUUAGCUUCUGCGAAGCUACGAAUCGAAGCCCCAGUAAACGGCGGCCGUAACUAUAACGGUCCUAAGGUAGCGAAAUUCCUUGUCGGGUAAGUUC